AACGAACGUUAGCGGCGCGCCUAACACAUGCAAGUCGAACGAGAAAGGGCUUCGGCCCCGGUACAGUGGCGGACGGGUGAGUAACACGUAGGUAAUCUGCCCCCAGGUGGUGGAUAACCCUUCGAAAGGAGGGCUAAUACGGCAUAAGACCACGAAGGCGAAAGCUUUUGAGGUCAAAGCGUGCCUCUGCAAGCAAGCACGCGCCAGGGGAUGAGCCUGCGGCCCAUCAGCUAGUUGGUAGGGUAAUGGCCUACCAAGGCAUAGACGGGUAGCUGGUCUGAGAGGAUGAUCAGCCACACUGGAACUGAGACACGGUCCAGACUCCUACGGGAGGCUG
rnacentral:rRNA from 1 species